rnacentral:lncRNA from 1 species
UGCUGGGAUUGAAUGGCUUGGAUUCGCCGAGUCGGACUUCGUUUCAUUUAAGCUGUUAUGCAGGGCUGUCCUCAGUGGUUUGGAAUUCUUGGUCCAGUUCACGGAAUUUUUGAGGUGGUUGAGGUUAGAUCGGGUAUGACAGUUGGGAUGUUAGUUUCGUAAUGAUAGUUAGAAUUCUGUUGGAGGUUUUGGGUGAAGUCAGGUUGGUCAUGAACUCAUUCCCUGGUUCUGUUAUCAGGUCGCAGGUUAUUAGUAGUUGGAGGUUUAGUUUUGUAGUGGAGUUUUGAAGUGUUGAUGAGAGGGUUUCUUUGAAGGGUUCAAGAACUUGGUUAGGGUGGUUAUGACAGUUGAAAAAUUUAGUUUUGAAUUAUCAUUUUCUUUCAUUUUGCUUAGCAAUUUAUGUUGGUCAUUUUUUAUGAUGCAUUCCGUUUGGUGCAGGUUUCAAACCGCUUUCGCUUGG